UUGUGACAUCACUACAUUCCACUCCUCCUGGUCAGGGGGAGGGAAACACAGGGUUGGGACCCAGCUCCUUGGAGAUGCCAGCGCAAAGAGCCCAGGGAGGUCCUCCUUGAGGCAGCAGGAGAGGAGGGCAGAGUGUGCAGCAGGGAGCCCCAGGAGUCACCAGCCCAAAGUCACCCAGGGAUGACUGGCGAGGACAGGGCCUGGGGCUGGGGGACUGAGGUCCUUGGAGACACGAGCCCAAAGAGCCCAGGGAGGUCGAGUUUGGCGUGGCAGGAGAUCUCAUUGUCCAUUGAAGAACUGCUACUCAUGGCCUGCAAGAGUGAAACUCAUUGGUUCUAUGAAUGAAUGAAAUUGGACCUGCUGGAGGCCUUUAAUUAUUAUGUGGGCCUCAGAAAUGAUGAGGAUUGAUGUGGGUGUUAUUUCAAUAAAGUGUUAUAAACAAUUCA